rnacentral:rRNA from 1 species
CAGUCGCCGCGGUAAUACGAAGGGUGCAAGCGUUAAUCGGAAUUACUGGGCGUAAAGCGCGCGUAGGUGGUUCAUUAAGUUGGAUGUGAAAGCCCUGGGCUCAACCCGGGAACUGCAUCCAAAACUGGUGAGCUAGAGUACGGUAGAGGGUAGUGGAAUUUCCUGUGUAGCGGUGAAAUGCGUAGAUAUAGGAAGGAACACCAGUGGCGAAGGCGACUACCUGGACUGAUACUGACACUGAGGUGCGAAAGCGUGGGGAGCAAACAGGAUUAGAUACCCGGGUAGUCCCUGUCUCUUAUAA